rnacentral:misc_RNA from 1 species
GACAGAGGGUGCAAGCGUUGUUCGGAAUCACUGGGCGUAAAGCGCACGUAGGCGGUCAGGCAAGUCGGAUGUGAAAUCCCGAGGCUCAACCUUGGAACUGCAUCCGAAACUGCUUGACUUGAGUCCCGGAGAGGGUGGUGGAAUUCCUGGUGUAGAGGUGAAAUUCGUAGAUAUCAGGAGGAACAUCGGUGGCGAAGGCGACCGCCUGGACGGUGACUGACGCUGAGGUGCGAAAGCGUGGAUAGCAAACAGG